GACCGCACGGGAUAAUCGAUUAUCCCGUGCGGUCCAGUUAUACCAACCGCAUGGGAUAAUCUAUUAUCCCGUGCGGUC
rnacentral:pre_miRNA from 11 species